rnacentral:rRNA from 1 species
CCCUUAGAUGUUCUGGGCCGCACGCGCGCUACACUGACGAAGUCAGCGAGCAUGUCCUACGCCGACAGGUGCGGGGAAUCUUGUCAAACUUCGUCGUGAUGGGGAUUGAUUUUUGAAAUUCUUGAUCAUAAACGAGGAAUUCCUAGUAAGCGCAAGUCAGCAGCUUGCGUUGAUUACGUCCCUGCCCUUUGUACACACCGCCCGUCGCUACUACCGAUUGAAUGGUUUAGUGAGAUCUUCGGAUUGGCACCACUGCAGCUCAGCAAUGGGCUUGGUGGAUGCCGAAAAGUUGAUCAAACUUGAUCAUUUAGAGGAAGUAAAAGUCGUAACA